CCCAAUUCCACAAAAUCAAAACCCAAUCCCCAUGCAUAACGUGUCAUUGAAAAAGCCAAUUUUGCAGAUACAGAGAAAAAACCCCAAUUUAAUUCUUUAAUUCUUGAAAAUGAAUAGGGAAUCAUAGGGAAUUCUCGGCUCAAUUCUUCAAUGCUUCAAUUGAAGCUGAAUAGAGAAUAUGAGAAAUAAAAGAUGAAUAUGCAACCUAAAAUCCUCACUUCAAAUUGUGCAAUCGGAGUUGAAUCAGAGCUGAGCAAUCAGAGAAAUUGGUUUAAAUUGUGUGACCUAAAACCCUCACUUCAAAUUGUGCAUUCUGAAUCUUUUUAAAGGGAUGAUUGAUCAAGCAUAUGAUGUUCAAUACCUAAUUCUUAAAUGUUCAAUCUGUUUAAAUUGUGAUAGUGAGUACCAGCCUAAAACCCUAGACAAAGGUACUAAAAAAUUUACUUUACUGUGAUAGUGUGUGUUUAUGGUUAUUUUUUUU
rnacentral:lncRNA from 1 species